GUUCUCUUUCACAGUACCCACUGCAAGAUUACUAUGGGUCCCAUGCUUCUCCCUCCACCUCUUGAGCGAAUCGUUCUUCGCCUGUGAGUUCACCUGUAAAUAAACCUUCUUAAUGCCAUUUUGCACCUCGCCUGCAUCUAGUCGGACCUGGAACUUGGUGUCAUUAUCCUUCGCUUGCGCCGGUGCAAUACGCUUUCCUGGUGUUUGCUUCUGGAACAACUUUUUAUAAAGUCCCCUCUUAAAAAGAGCUUCCUCAAACUGCUUGAGAACCUUAGACAUAGCUUUUGUAAAUUAAGGCUUAUUGAAAUUCAAGAAAAAUGUAUGUUUAUCAACAUUGAUGUAAGC
rnacentral:sRNA from 2 species